rnacentral:rRNA from 1 species
AUUGAACGCUGGCGGCAUGCCUUACACAUGCAAGUCGAACGGCAACGGGCCUUCGGGUGCCGACGAGUGGCGAACGGGUGAGUAAUGUAUCGGAACGUACCUUUCAGUGGGGAAUAACGUAGCGAAAGUUACGCUAAUACCGCAUAUUCUGUGAGCAGGAAAGCAGGGGAUCGCAAGACCUUGCGCCGAUUGAGCGGCCGAUACCAGAUUAGCUAGUUGGUGAGGUAAAGGCUCACCAAGGCGACGAUCUGUAGCGGGUCUGAGAGGAUGAUCCGCCCCACUGGAACUGAGACACGGUCCAGACUCCUACGUGAGGCAGCAGUGGGGAAUUUUGGACAAUGGGGGCAACCCGGAUCCAGCCAUGCCGCGUUAGUGAAGAAGGCCUGCGGGUUGUAAGGCUCUUUCGGCCGGGAAGAAAUCGUAUCAGCUAAUACCUGGUGCGGAUGACGGUACCGGCAUAAGAAGCACCGGCUAACUACGUGCCAGCAGCCGCAGUAAUAC